rnacentral:tRNA from 1 species
GCGCGAGUAGCUCAGCGGCAGAGCACCUCGUUUACACCGAGGGGGCCGUAGGUUCGAUCCCUACCUCGCGCACCA